rnacentral:rRNA from 1 species
AUUGUUAAGCUACUAAGGGUGUACGGUGAAUGCCCUGGCAUCAGCAGGCGAUGAAGGACGUAGCUAGCUGCGAUAAGCCGCGGGAAGCCGCAAGCAGGCCGUGAUCCGCGGAUGUCCGAAUGGGGAAACCCAGGCGAUGAAUGCCGCCUAUCCGCGUCUGAAUCCAUAGGACGCGAGAAGCCCACGCAGGGAAGUGAAACAUCUCAGUACCUGCAGGAAUAGAAAUCAAUCGAGAUUCCCCUAGUAGUGGCGAGCGAAAAGGGAACAGCCUAAACCACAGUGAUGUCAAGCCCGUGUGCGUUGUCGCUGUGGUGUUGUAGGGCUCUGUCGGACGGUGAUACGGCGCCGUCGGCAAGUCAAAAAUUAGGAUCUUAGUCGAACGGUCUGGAAAGGCCGGCCAUAGAAGGUGACAGCCCUGUAGGCGACAAGACCCUAACUUGCUGGAUGGAGUUCCUGAGUACCACGGGGCUCGAGCAACCCUGUGGGAAUCCGGGACGACCACGUUCCAAGGCUAAAUACUCGCUGAUGACCGAUAGCGUACCAGUACCGUGAGGGAAAGGUGAAAAGAACCCCGGUGAGGGGAGUGAAAUAGAACCUGAAACCGUAUACCUACAAGCAGCGAGAGGGCUAUGCCCGCAAGGGAAUGCCUGAUCGCGUGCCUUUUGCUUAAUGAGCCUGCGAGUUAUCUUGCGUAGCAAGGUUAAGGCGGAAAGCCGGAGCCGUAGCGAAAGCGAGUCCGAAUUGGGCAUAUAGUUGCGUAGGAUAGACCCGAAGCGAAGUGAUCUACCCAUGGCCAAGGCGAAUCCGCCGUAACAGGCGGAGGAGGCCUGAACUGAUGUUUGUUGCAAAAAGCUCGGAUGAGCUGUGGGUAGGGGUGAAAGGCCAAACAAACUUCGUAAUUGCUGGUUCUCCCCGAAAUGUCUAGAGGGACAGCCUCGUGUCAGCCGUAACGGAGGUAGAGCACUGAAUGGGCUAGGGGCGUUCCAACGCUACUGAACCCAAUCAAACUCCGAAUGCCGUUACUGGACGCACGGGAGUGAGACUACGAGUGCUAAGAUCCGUGGUCAAAAGGGAAAUAGCCCAGACCGUCAGCUAAGGUCCCUAAGUGCAUGCUAAGUGGGAAAGGUUGUAACGUCGCUCAGACAGCCAGGAGGUUGGCUUAGAAGCAGCCAUCCUUUAAAGAGUGCGUAAUAGCUCACUGGUCGAGCGAUGGUGCGCCGAAAAUAUAACGGGGCUUAAGUAUGUCACCGAAGCUACGGACUUUCCUCGCAAGAGGUGAGUGGUAGGGGAGCAUUCUCUGUGCGGUGAAGGUUGACCGACAAGGACAGCUGGAGCGCAGAGAAGAGAUUAUGCAGGCAUAAGUAGCGAUAAUUGAUGUGAGAAUCAUCAACCCCGUAAACCUAAGGUUUCCUGGCCUAUGUUCGUCAGGUCAGGGUGAGUCGGAUCCUAAGCCGAGGCCGAAAGGCGUAGGCGAUGGUAAACAGGUCAAUAUUCCUGUACCACAGUGAUGGCGUUAUCAGCGAAGGGGGGGUGCAGAAGGGUAGGCACCGCCGGGUCCCUGGAAUACCCGGUCUAAGCGUGUAGGCGGGUCUUGUAGGCAAAUCCGCGAGACCAUUAACGCUGAGACGUGAUGGGGAGGCCGCAAGGCCAUAAACGGGCUGAUCCCAUGCUGCCAAGAAAAGCCUCGUAGCGAGUCAUCAUUGUGUCCGUACCGCAAACCGACACAGGUAGGUAGGUGGAAUACACUAAGGGGCGUGAGAGAACACUUCCUAAGGAACUAUGCAAUUUAGCCCCGUAACUUCGGGAGAAGGGGUGCCACGCGUAGGUAAGUCUGUACAAG